rnacentral:rRNA from 1 species
AACGAACGCUGGCGGCAGGCUAAACACAUGCAAGUCGAGCGCCCCGCAAGGGGAGCGGCAGACGGGUGAGUAACGCGUGGGAAUCUACCCAUCUCUACGGAAUAACGCAUGGAAACGUGUGCUAAUACCGUAUACGUCAUUCGGGAGAAAGAUUUAUCGGAGAUGGAUGAGCCCGCGUUGGAUUAGCUAGUUGGAGGGGUAAAGGCCUACCAAGGCGACGAUCCAUCGCUGGUGUGAGAGGAUGAUCAGCCACACUGGGACUGAGACACGGCCCAGACUCCUACGGGAGGCAGCAGUGGGGAAUAUUGGACAAUGGGCGCAAGCCUGAUCCAGCCAUGCCGCGUGAGUGAUGAAGGCCCUAGGGUUGUAAAGCUCUUUCACCGGUGAAGAUAAUGACGGUAACCGGAGAAGAAGCCCCGGCUAACUUCGUGCCAGCAGCCGCGGUAACAC